AAAGAAAAUAAAAGCAGGAUAUCAAAGAGACAUCUUUACUCCCAUGUUCAUUGCAGCAUAUUCACAAUAGUCAAGAUAUGGAAUCAACCUAAGUGUCCUCUGAUAGAUGAAUUGAUACAGAAAAUAUAAAAUCAGAUAUUGAAGAGUGCCAAAAUUCAAAGCUGUCAAAUAGUAAAAUUUCUUAAGAAUUUACAAUUCAAUAUGUAGCUAAUAGGAGUCUCAUAAAGAAAUAAUGGAGAAAACAUGAAGAGAAAAAUUAUCCAAUCAAUAGUGUAGUAUAAUUUCUCAGAGAUAAAUGGCUGGAGCAGUUGGAUUGGAAAUGUGUGAGUGCCCAGUAUAUUUGAAUUAAAAAAUACCUAGAGACAUUUUUAUAAAAUUCCAGUUUACCAAAAAUAAAGAUAAAGACUUCUACAGAAAGAAUCCAGGUGACAAAGACUAGAGAAUCAGACCACCAUCAUGUUUUCAUCAGUCAUAACGGAUAUCACAAAACAAUAAAAUAACACCAAUUGACUGGCUUC
rnacentral:lncRNA from 10 species